GUAAGGAAUAUUGGUCAAUGGACGAAAGUCUGAACCAGCCAUGCCGCGUGAAGGAUGAAGGCCCUCUGGGUUGUAAACUUCUUUUAUCUGGGACGAAAAAAGGGUAUUCUUACUCACUUGACGGUACCAGAGGAAUAAGCACCGGCUAACUCCGUGCCAGCAGCCGCGGUAAUACGGAGGGUGCAAGCGUUAUCCGGAUUCACUGGGUUUAAAGGGUGCGUAGGUGGGUAUUUAAGUCAGUGGUGAAAUCUCCGAGCUUAACUCGGAAACUGCCAUUGAUACUAUUUACCUUGAAUGCCCUGGAGGUAAGCGGAAUAUGUCAUGUAGCGGUGAAAUGCUUAGAUAUGACAUAGAACACCAAUUGCGAAGGCAGCUUACUACGGGGUGAUUGACACUGAGGCACGAAAGCGUGGGGAGCAAACAGGAUUAGAAACCCCAGUAGUCC
rnacentral:rRNA from 1 species